rnacentral:misc_RNA from 1 species
GAAGUGCGAUAAUUAGUGUGAAUUGCAGAAUUCAGUGAAUCAUCAAGACCUUGAACGCAUACUGCGCCUAUAGGCUCUCCUAUAGGCAUGCCUGUUUGAGUAUCGACUUUAUCAUCUCCCUUCUUUUGAAGGAAGGUAUAUGAAUGUUUACCUUGAUUUAAGGGGUAAUCAUUUGAAAGGAAGUCGAUCAGCGGUGACAAAAUAUCACAGCUUUAAACCUUAGUGGGUUAGUGUCCUCUUUAGAGGCCUUUAUAUCAUCACUAUAGGUAUUUAAUAGCUGGAUACACCCCUUGAUCUUAAGGGACAAACAAAUAUUCUUAUAUCUCUUUCGAUCUCAAAUCAGGCAAGACUACCCGCUGAAUUUAA